GCAACUGACCUGAAAGGAAAAGAAAAUACACUGUAUAAGCAACAAAGCUGACAGUUUGCUUGUGAUUCUGGACAAGGCUCUAGGAUGGCCUUGGAGCUCUGAGAAGACGGAGCAGAGUCAAACAUCAGGAACUAGAGUCUGCCCCAAAAAAGAGCAACCUCUAUGCCGUCACCACCAUAGACUAGUUUGGCCUGCUUUAUACUUUACUGAUCAGGAAUCAGACAACAGUAUCUAUACUUGGCGUCUAGCUUCCUUCACUCAAGGUCAUAGGACACUUGAUAAAAGUCAUGAAAUCUGCCUCCCGCGCCCUCUCUUCGGCGUCCGUGCUCCUGAGACCCUGCAGCGGGGCCGGGCCUCUCCCUGCAGCCUCGGACACUGGAAGGGCCUGACCCCCAAGAAAGGGAAGUUUCGCUCCCUCCGCUCACACAGCCUGCUCACCUGGCUCGCACAGGUGCCCUCCGACCCCAAGGCCACAGGAAGAGACAUCCCCUCUGCGUGGUUACAGCUGGAGUCGAGCGCACCAAGGGAGAACAGCAAAACACAUCUGUAGCCACCAAACCUGGAAGUUUCCAGAGAUCACGGCGGUCACGGUCUCCAGUAACUGUGCUUAUGGAAUAAUUUAUAUUUUCCUUUAAAUUUCUAAGACAUGUUUAGGUCAAAUUUCAGUGACCUGUUUUGGAGAGAACCAAACAUAGAACUCCAAAGCAAACACCUCAAUUUGGCAAGAUUGUGAUACACGGUCACCAAAGAGGGGAAAAAAUUACACUGUACGGUAAACAGAAAUCAGCAUUCCAGGAUAAAUGUUCUUGGACUAAUUAAAAAGCAACUGCUCUCCUUUCCACCCUGUGCUCUCCCUCGCCACCUCACCUUAUCCCAAAUGUAAAGAACAAAAUUAUGACAUUACAGGAGCACUGUCACCCCAAAUUCUACAACCUUAUUUCAAGUGAU